rnacentral:rRNA from 1 species
GAUGAACGCUGGCGGCGUGCUUAACACAUGCAAGUCGAACGAAGCGUUGCGACGAAAACCUCCGGGCGGAAGACGCAGCGACUGAGUGGCGGACGGGUGAGUAACGCGUGGGCAACCUGCCUCACACAGGGGGAUAGCAGCUGGAAACGGCUGAUAAUACCGCAUAACCCGGCAGUGCCGCAUGGCACGGACGGCAAAGAUUUAUCGGUGUGAGAUGGGCCCGCGUCUGAUUAGCUUGUUGGCAGGGUAACGGCCUACCAAGGCAGCGAUCAGUAGCCGGCUUGAGAGAGUGGACGGCCACAUUGGGACUGAGACACGGCCCAA